rnacentral:lncRNA from 1 species
GGAAAACUGAAUAACAAAUAAAACAACAGGAAAGACUAGGUCACCGGAGAAACAAUCUAUGUUCUCCAGUGCAAGCAUGGAAAUUGUUUUCCCAGGGAAGCCCCAAUUCUUCCCCAUCAACAUCAAAAUGAGAGCUUGUAACCUGAGGCCUGCCCUCGGCUUGUACCAUGCAGGCAGGCUUUCAUCCUGACCAGAGGCCCAUUUUGGCAUGCACCGUUCAGGUGAGCUUUUAUCCUGACCAGAAGCCCACCUUCAGCUUGUGCAGUUCAGGUAAGCUCCCUUCUUUGGUUAGGAACCUGCCUUCGGGUUUUUUUUGCCAUCAGGCAAGGUCCUUGCUUUGAGUCCCUGCAUUUUCUCAGCUCCCCGCACGUAUAUGUCAUUCAGUUAUAAUGUAUACAGAUAUAUCUAUUCUUUUUCAAGUUCUUUUCCACUAUAGGUUAAUACAACAUACUGAAUAUAGUUCCCUGUGCUAUACAGUAGUACUUAUUUUUUUGAUCUAUUUUAUAUGUAGUAGUGUGUAUCUGUUAAUCCCAAAUUACUAAUUUGUCCCUCCCUCCUUUCCCACUUUGGUAACCAUAAGUUUGUUUUCUAUGUGUGUGAGUCUAUUUCUGUUUUGUAAGUGAGUUCAUUUGUAUCAUUUUUUUUAGAUUCCACAUAUAAGUGAUUUGUCUGAUUUAUUUCACUUAGUACACUAAUCUCUAGGUCCAUCAAUGUUGCUGCAAAUGGCAUAUUUUCAUCCUUUUAUAUGGAUAAAUAAUAUUCCAUUGCAUAUAUGUACCACACCUUCUUUAUCCAUACAUCUGUCAAUGGACAUCUAGGUUGUUUCUAUGUCUUGGCUAUUGUGAAUAGUGCUGCAAUGAAUAUUGGGUUGCAUAUAUCUUUUUGAAUUAGAGUUUUCCUAUUUUUGAUAUAUAUGGCCAGAAGUGGGAUUGCUGGAUCAUAUGGUAGCUCUAUCCUUAGUUUUUUAAGGAAUUUCUAUACUGUUUUCCACAGUGCCUCACCAAUUUGCAUUCCCACCAAGUGUGUAGGAGGGUUCCCUUUUCUCCAUACCCUCUGUAACAUUUAUUUUUUGUAGACUUUUUUGAUGAUGGCCAUUUUGACCAGUGUGAUUUGUGUUUCUCUAGUAAUUAGCAAUAUUAAGUAUCUUUUCAUGUGCCUGUUGAUCAUCUGUAGGUCUUCUUUGGAGAAAAGUCUAUUUAGAUCGUCUGCCUCUUUUUCAAUUUUUUUUCUUUCUUUUUUUUUUUUUAAGCUAUAUAGGCUCUUUGUACCUUUUGGAAAUUAAUUCCUUGUUGGUUUUAUCAUUUGCAAAUAUGAAAUGAUUUCCUUCUUGAAAAUGAAAACUAUAGUCAUUUCAAAUUUUCACCCAGUGAUAGUUCUCAAAGAAAAAUUGACACUUAAUUAGUUGUUAAAUUCUUCACCAACUUGAACUUCUAUAGGCCAGCAUAUUUAAACUUCCUUUGUCAUUGCUCUCUUACUUGAGGCUCCUGAUCAUACCAUGGCUCUGGUAGGCAGGAAUUUUCCACUUAUUUCAACUACGCAAUCUCAGGGUGCUCCAGUUUAAAUGACAUUCCCACAGGGACUCUCUUGCUCUUCUUGUCUUAGUCCUCUUCUACCAACACUACCAGAAAGCCUGGAUUAAUCCUACUCAACCACAUUUGUGUUAUUACUUAUCUGCUGCUCUCAUAUCACUUAAUUUCAUGGUUGCUUACUUAUCCUUAUUCUACUUUAAUAUAGUAAAUAGCUUAGAGAAGUCUAUCUUAUAUGCCAAGUUCUAGGAUGUUUUAUGCUUGACAUUCAGACAAAUAUUAGUUAUAUAAUAGAUAAUCUUUUGACAUGAAGUUUGAUAAUUUUAAAUUUUUUGUAUUAAAGUACAGCUGAUUCACAAUGUUCUGUCACUUUUUGCUGUUUAGCAAAGGGACUCAAUCAUACAAAAAUAUGAUGUUUGAUGCUUCUGAUAAUGCAAAUGAGAAUUUUUAUGUGAAGAUAAAAAAUAAAAAGUUAACACAUGGCAUUAAUCUGUGAACAAAAAAAGAAAGGAAGGUAUGGUAACAGUAUCUGUCCUGUUAAAAUGUUUAUUUUAAAAUUUCCUUAAAUUUAAAUUGAAACAGAUUAAAAGCCAAAAGUUAUGAAAAGUCAUAAUAAUAAUUAACCUGAAAAUUACCCUAAAAGUGAUUUAUAGUCAUAAAAGUCCAUUAAAAAAAGUGUAGAGAAAUAAAAGUUUAAAAAAAUGAACUAUUGCUAACAAGUAGGAUCCAAGAUUUAUUUUAUUGAUUUUGAAAGGAAAAGUCUGUUCAACUAAAUGUAUGUGCUUCUCCAGAGACAUCAAGAGGAUUUCCAGGAACAGCCCAAGAAAUACCUCCUUGUACCACAGUUCCUGUUGUGGCUCAUCGGGUUGAGAAUCCGACCAGUAUCCACGAGGAUGUAGGUUCUAAUCCUGGCCUCGCUCAGUAGGUUUAGCGGCAAGCUGUAGCUUAGGUUGCAGAUGCAGCUCAAGUCCUGCAUUUCUGUGACUGUGGCAUGGGCCAGCAGCUGCCACUCUGAUUUGACCCCUAGCCUGGGAACUUCCAAUUGCCACAGGUGUGGCCUGAAAAAACAAAACCAAAAAACCCAUCUAGUCCUAAAAUUAAGCAAGCUGCAUAUCAUAAACCAACUACAAAGAUAAAAUUAAAAUGUAAUGCCUUUAUACACAUAUAUUAUUAAUACUAUGGUAAUAAUAAAUGGUAUUAUAAUUGAAUAAUAUACAAUAAAACUGUGAUUAUAAUAAAAAUGAGAUUACCAAUACUCAGAAUUAAAGAGCCAGUGAAAGUGAAAAAUAAAGUAAAAGCAAGAAAAAA